GUCCUUUUGUAGUUCUUCAGCGGGAUGGUUGGGUGUUCAUGCUCCUAUGUGAGAUCUGGUCCCCUCAAACCUC
ensembl:snoRNA